CCUACGGGAGGCAGCAGUGAGGAAUAUUGGUCAAUGGACGAGAGUCUGAACCAGCCAAGUAGCGUGAAGGAUGACUGCCCUAUGGGUUGUAAACUUCUUUUAUAUGGGAAUAAAAUGUUACACGUGUGGGAUUUUGUAUGUACCAUAUGAAUAAGGAUCGGCUAACUCCGUGCCAGCAGCCGCGGUAAUACGGAGGAUCCGAGCGUUAUCCGGAUUUAUUGGGUUUAAAGGGAGCGUAGGUGGAUUGUUAAGUCAGUUGUGAAAGUUUGCGGCUCAACCGUAAAAUUGCAGUUGAAACUGGCAGUCUUGAGUACAGUAGAGGUGGGCGGAAUGCGUGGUGUAGCGGUGAAAUGCUUAGAUAUCACGAAGAACUCCGAUUGCGAAGGCAGUUCACUGGACUGCAACUGACACUGAGGCUCGAAAGUGUGGGUAUCAAACAGGAUUAGAUACCCCUGUAGUC
rnacentral:rRNA from 1 species